rnacentral:snRNA from 1 species
CAAGCUUCUCCCAAGCAGCCUCAGACA